rnacentral:rRNA from 1 species
CCUACGGGAGGCUGCAGUGAGGAAUAUUGGUCAAUGGACGAGAGUCUGAACCAGCCAAGUAGCGUGAAGGAUGACUGCCCUAUGGGUUGUAAACCUCUUUUAUAUGGGAAUAAAAUGUUGCACGUGUGGGGUUUUGUGUGUACCCUAUGAAUAAGGAUCGGCUAACUCCGUGCCAGCAGCCGCGGUAAUACGGAGGAUCCGAGCGUUAUCCGGAUUUAUUGGGUUUAAAGGGUGCGUAGGUGGAGUGUUAAGUCAGUGGUGAAAGUUUGCGGCUCAACCGUAAAAUUGCAGUUGAAACUGGCAGUCUUGAGUACAGUAGAGGUGUGCGGAAUUCGUGGUGUAGCGGUGAAAUGCUUAGAUAUCACGAAGAACUCCGAUUGCGAAGGCAGUUCACUGGACUGCAACUGACACUGAGGCUCGAAAGUGUGGGUAUCAAACAGGAUUAGAUACCCUAGUAGUC